UACGGAGGGUGCGAACGUUAAUCGGAAUCACUGGGCGUAAAGCGCGCGUAGGCGGUUUGUUAAGUGGGAUGUGAAAUCCCCGGGCUUAACCUGGGAAUUGCAUUUCAAACUGGCCGACUAGAGUACGGUAGAGGGAGGUAGAAUUUCCUGUGUAGCGGUGAAAUGCGUAGAUAUCAAGAGGAACACCUGAGGUGAAGACGGGUUGCUGGGCCAACACUGACGCUGAGGCGCGAAAGCCAGGGGAGCAAACGGG
rnacentral:rRNA from 1 species